GAUUCUGGCUCAGGAUGAACGCUAGCUACAGGCUUAACACAUGCAAGUCGAGGGGCAGCAUUGGAGUAGCAAUACUUCAGAUGGCGACCGGCGCACGGGUGAGUAACACGUAUCCAACCUGCCGCUUACUCGGGGAUAGCCUUUCGAAAGAAAGAUUAAUACCCGAUGGUAUAAAGAGUUCGCAUGUUCUCUUUAUUAAAGAAUUUCGGUAAGCGAUGGGGAUGCGUUCCAUUAGAUAGUUGGCGGGGUAACAGCCCACCAAGUCUACGAUGGAUAGGGGUUCUGAGAGGAAGGUCCCCCACAUUGGAACUGAGACACGGUCCAAACUCCUACGGGAGGCAGCAGUGAGGAAUAUUGGUCAAUGGACGAGAGUCUGAACCAGCCAAGUAGCGUGAAGGAUGACUGCCCUAUGGGUUGUAAACUUCUUUUAUAAGGGAAUAAAGUGAGGGACGUGUCCCUUUUUGUAUGUACCUUAUGAAUAAGGAUCGGCUAACUCCGUGCCAGCAGCAGC
rnacentral:rRNA from 1 species